rnacentral:rRNA from 1 species
UACGUAGGGCGCAAGCGUUGUCCGGAAUUAUUGGGCGUAAAGAGCUCGUAGGCGGUGUGUCACGUCGGCCGUGAAAACCUGCAGCUUAACUGUGGGCGUGCGGUCGAUACGGGCAUCACUGGAGUUCGGCAGGGGAGACUGGAAUUCCUGGUGUAGCGGUGAAAUGCGCAGAUAUCAGGAGGAACACCGGUGGCGAAGGCGGGUCUCUGGGCCACUACUGACGCUGGAGAAGCGAAAGCAUCGGGGGAGCGAACAGG